CUCCUUUCAAGACUUGCCAAGAUUGCAAUCACCUCAUGAAAGGCCUGCCUGUGCAAACUUGUUCUAAGGUUGUCUUCUUAGAACAGCAGAGCCCUUUCUGGAGCAUUGCAAAAUGGUUUUGAAACUCUCCUGAGUUUCAUAAGUGUAAGGAACUGCUCUUCAAGUAUCAAGGCACAAAGCUUUUCCGGAUGUGUCCAACCAGUUAUGCUGGUCUUUCGAUUGUGGCACUGGUGAGCAAGAGGAUGGACUCCAACAAGACCUGCUCCUUCCUUUCUUACACCACGAGCAGUUUGUUGCCUUGGAAUGGCUUGAUUUGUUUAUUUCAGUACAAGACCAGCAAACCUUGGAAUGGCUGCCAUUAUGGAGAAUUGCUUUUCUGCCUUAAAAACAGACUUUGAGCUCAAGCUCCAGGACCGACAGAGCGGAUGGUGUCAAAGGCAGCAGCAAAGCACGAGAAUACAAAAUAGCAACAGUGAGAAAAACUGCACACCCUUGUGGAUUGUCUGCCCGAAGGCUCAGUGAAUCAUGGAGAGACAGGAAACCACCUCGAGGCCAAUAGAUGAAACAAGGAGAACCAGACUGGGUUCCUGAGAUCUUUUCUGUGUCUUGUAAUAAAGUAAUUAAUAAAAAGAUU